rnacentral:rRNA from 1 species
UACGUAGGGGGCAAGCGUUGUCCGGAAUCAUUGGGCGUAAAGAGCGUGUAGGCGGCUCGGUAAGUCCGCUCUGAAAGCCCGGGGCUCAACCCCGGGAGGCGGGCGGAUACUGUCGGGCUAGAGUCCGGAAGAGGCGAGUGGAAUUCCUGGUGUAGCGGUGAAAUGCGCAGAUAUCAGGAGGAACACCGGUGGCGAAGGCGGUUCUCUGGGCCUGUACUGACGCUGAGGAGCGAAAGCGUGGGGAGCGAACAGG